CCUACGGGGGGCUGCAGUGAGGAAUAUUGGUCAAUGGGCGAGAGCCUGAACCAGCCAAGUCGCGUGAGGGAGUACUGCCCUAUGGGUUGUAAACCUCUUUUGUCGGGGAGCAAAAGCCGGACGUGUUCGGCUUUGCGAGUACCCUUAGCAAAAGCAUCGGCUAACUCCGUGCCCGCAGCCGCGGUAAUACGGGGGAUGCGAGCGUUAUCCGGAUUUAUGGGGUUUAAAGGGGGCGCUGGCGGUGUUUUAAGUCAGCGGGAAAAUCGUGGGGUUAAACCCCAACCAGCAGUUGAAACUGGGGAUCUAGAGUGUAGUAGAGGUAUGCGGAAUGCGUGGUGUAGCGGUGAAAUGCAUAGAUAUCACGCAGAACCCCGAUUGCGAAGGCAGCAUACCGGUGAACAACUGACGCUCAGGCACGAAAGCGUGGGUAUCGAACAGGAUUAGAUACCCCUGUAGUC
rnacentral:rRNA from 1 species